rnacentral:rRNA from 1 species
AUUGAACGCUAGCGGCAUGAUUUACACAUGCAAGUCGAACGGUAACAGGCCGCAAGGUGCUGACGAGUGGCGAACGGGUGAGUAAUGCAUCGGAACGUGCCCAGUCGUGGGGGAUAACUACUCGAAAGAGUAGCUAAUACCGCAUACGAUCUAUGGAUGAAAGCGGGGGACCGUAAGGCCUCGCGCGAUUGGAGCGGCCGAUGUCAGAUUAGGUAGUUGGUGGGGUAAAGGCUCACCAAGCCAACGAUCUGUAGCUGGUCUGAGAGGACGACCAGCCACACUGGGACUGAGACACGGCCCAGACUCCUACGGGAGGCAGCAGUGGGGAAUUUUGGACAAUGGGCGCAAGCCUGAUCCAGCAAUGCCGCGUGCAGGAAGAAGGCCUUCGGGUUGUAAACUGCUUUUGUACGGAACGAAACGGCUCUGGUUAAUACCCGGGGCUAAUGACGGUACCGUAAGAAUAAGCACCGGCUAACUACGUG